rnacentral:rRNA from 1 species
GAUGAACGCUGGCGGCGUGCUUAACACAUGCAAGUCGAACAGGAAACAUUUUAUUGAAGCUUCGGCAGAUUUAGUUUGUUUCUAGUGGCGGACGGGUGAGUAACGCGCGGGUAACCUGCCUCACACUGGGGGAUAACAGUCAGAAAUGACUGCUAAUACCGCAUAAGCGCACGAGACCGCAUGGUUUUGUAGUGAAAAACUCCGGUAGGUGUGAGAUGGACCCGCGUUGGAUUAGCCAGUUGGCAGGGUAACGGCCUACCAAAGCGACGAUCCGAUA